GACUACACGAAGGAGCAGCCGCUGCCGCCGCAGUCGGGACUUGCUUGCCGCCGCCUAGACUCUCCCUGGCCGCCGCUGCCUCAAAUCUCGCCGUCGUCUGGACUCGGCUACACUUCUCCGUCUGUCUGCCUUCACCACCAUGGGUAACAUACUCAGGGAGCCAUCGUCGCUCCUGCUGCUUCCUCUGGAUUGUCCUUGUUUGCGAUGCCCCACCUAUGUAUGUUUCCCCAAUCUAAUCUAUUUGCUUUCCUGUCUUUUCUCCUCUGGGUCUGUAGUUGUAGUAGCAAGAUCAGGGGCUGGGCGUGGACACCUCCGGCCACGAUAUAAAGUUGAUGCUGGUGAGAUCCAAAUUAGAUAAGAUCCACCACUCGCCUCACCACGAUCAAGGGCAAUUACUACAUCUCUAAUACUGGUUGGAAAUUAUUGAUGAGAGACUGAUGUUGCUGUGAUGAUAAGUGCCUAUGAUUUCUGUACUUUGCACUGAACCGACUGAAGCUGACAUUGAUUCUUGGCUGCAAGAAUUGGGAGUAUCUAAAGCACCAACGGUUGAAGGAGCUCAUCCGCCCACCGAGAGCAUUGCAGCUUUCCACAUGCCAUUGAUUAAUCCAUCUGCUUUAGUUGCAUCAGAUACUCCAUCCUUUAAUUGUUCUUUAAUUGCAUUGCUGAUGUCACUUUCAUAUAUGUAACUAAGUGAAAAUAGGGCUUUGUAAGGAUGUCACACUAUUAUUAGUUUGACAUAGUGUGACAUGUUUCAUUGAGAAGCUUUGUCAAGAUUAGUAUAGUGAUUACUUUCAUGGAAUGCCAUUUGUUUUCA